rnacentral:rRNA from 1 species
UACAGAGGGGGCAAGCGUUAUUCGGAAUUAUUGGGCGUAAAGGGCGCGUAGGCGGCUUGGCAAGUGGAUGGUGAAAUCCCUCGGCUUAACCGAGGAACUGCCGUCCAAACUGCUUCGCUUGAGACCGGGAGAGGUGAGUGGAAUUCCCAGUGUAGCGGUGAAAUGCGCAGAUAUCAGGAAGAACACCAAUGGCGAAAGCAGCUCUCUGGGACGGUACUGACGCUGAGACGCGAAAGCGUGGGGAGCGAACAGG